rnacentral:rRNA from 1 species
AUUGAACGCUGGCGGCAGGCCUAACACAUGCAAGUCGAACGAGUGGCGGACGGGUGAGUAAUGUCUGGGAAACUGCCUGAUGGAGGGGGAUAACUACUGGCAACGGUAGCUAAUACCGCAUACCAUCGGAUGUGCCCAGAUGGGAUUAGCUAGUAGGUGGGGUAAAGGCUCACCUAGGCGACGAUCCCUUGCUGGUCUGAGAGGAUGACCGACCACACUGUAACUGAGACACGGUCCAGACUCCGACGGUAGGAAGCAGUGGGGAAUAUUGCACAAUGGGCGCAAGCCUGAUGCAGCCAUGCCGCGUGUAUGAAGAAGGCCUUCGGGUUGUAAAGUACUUUCAGCGAGGAGGCGUUACCCGCAGAAGAAACACCGGCUAAAUCCGUGCGAGCAGCCGCGGUAAUUC